GACGAACGCUGGCGGCGUGCUUAACACAUGCAAGUCGAACGGAAAGGCCCUGCUUGCAGGGUACUCGAGUGGCGAACGGGUGAGUAACACGUGGGUGAUCUGCCCUGCACUUCGGGAUAAGCCUGGGAAACUGGGUCUAAUACCGGAUAGGAGCCAUUUUUAGUGUGAUGGUUGGAAAGUUUUUUCGGUGUAGGAUGAGCUCGCGGCCUAUCAGCUUGUUGGUGGGGUAAUGGCCUACCAAGGCGGCGACGGGUAGCCGGCCUGAGAGGGUGGACGGCCACAUUGGGACUGAGAUACGGCCCAGACUCCUACGGGAGGCAGCAGUGGGGAAUGUUGCACAAUGGGCGCAAGCCUGAUGCAGCGACGCCGCGUGGGGGAUGACGGCCUUCGGGUUGUAAACUCCUUUCGCUAGGGACGAAGCUUUUGUGACGGUACCUAGAUAAGAAGCACCGGCUAACUACGUG
rnacentral:rRNA from 1 species